GAUGAAGAACGCAGCGAAAUGCGAUAAGUAAUGUGAAUUGCAGAAUUCAGUGAAUCAUCGAAUCUUUGAACGCACAUUGCGCCCGCCAGUAUUCUGGCGGGCAUGCCUGUCCGAGCGUCAUUUCAACCCUCGAACCCCUCCGGGGGGUCGGCGUUGGGGACCUCGGGAGCCCCUAAGACGGGAUCCCGGCCCCGAAAUACAGUGGCGGUCUCGCCGCAGCCUCUCCUGCGCAGUAGUUUGCACAACUCGCACCGGGAGCGCGGCGCGUCCACGUCCGUAAAACACCCAUCUUCUGAAAUGUUGACCUCGGAUCAGGUAGGAAUACCCGCUGAACUUAAGCAUAUCAAUAAGCGGAGGA
rnacentral:misc_RNA from 1 species